CGCGAAUUCGCCCUUCGGGGCGCAGCAGGCGCGAAAACUUUACAAUGCCGGCAACGGCGAUAAGGGAACCUCGAGUGCCAGGUUACAAAUCUGGCUGUCGUGAUGCCUAAAAAGCAUUGCAUAGCAAGGGCCGGGCAAGACCGGUGCCAGCCGCCGCGGUAACACCGGCGGCUCGAGUGGUAACCGUUAUUAUUGGGUCUAAAGGGUCUGUAGCCGGCCGGGUAAGUCUCUUGGGAAAUCUGGCAGCUUAACUGUCAGGCUUUCAGGAGAUACUGCCUGGCUCGAGGCCGGGAGAGGUGAGAGGUACUUCAGGGGUAGGGGUGAAAUCUUGUAAUCCUUGAAGGACCACCAGUGGCGAAGGCGUCUCACCAGAACGGACCUGACGGCAAGGGACGAAAGCUAGGGGCACGAACCGGAUUAGAUACCCGGGUAGUCCUAGCCGUAAACGAUACUCGCUAGGUGUCGGCCACGGUGCGACCGUGGUCGGUGCCGUAGGGAAGCCGUGAAGCGAGCCACCUGGGAAGUACGGCCGCAAGGCUGAAACUUAAAGGAAUUGGCGGGGGAGCAC
rnacentral:rRNA from 1 species